GACCAUUUAAGCUCGAACCUUGGGAAAAGUUGGCCUCCACAGAAAAGAAUGCUUCCUUGGUUGCAGCACUCGAACAACAUGUGAGAAAACCCAGGAAAAGCUGUCCGACAGGCAUUUGGACUCUCACUUAAUGCUCAAGAUUUCGGUGAUUUCAGACAUUUAACCAACCAAUAUCUCCUACUUUUGACAACUUUGUGGAGAUCGGCCAGUUCCACUGUUCGAGGUCAUGGGAGAGAAGAGUACGAAACCAAAUCAACCGAUCUUUAAAAGUCGGGUCUCAAUCUGUUGUUGUUACGCGACAAUCCAUCGUACUUUGCUAUAUUUGUCGUAAGGAAACUCAAAAAUGCUAUAUUUGUCGUAAGGAAACUCAAAAAUGCUAUAUUUGUUGUAAGGAAACUCGUAAGAUACUAAAUUCUAGAAAAGUGACUGGAUAGGACAUGGUGGUGGUGUGUGGUGCGCAUUAAAUGAGACUCGUCUCGUUAGGCUGUUCGUUUGAACUGUAAGUAAUUAUAACCAGGCUCUCCCAAGACUCGUGACUAGGAAGUGCAUAUUGGAUGCUCCGUUGGAGCUAUAUGUUUAUUGAUGGCGAAUUUUGAGUUGUUCUCCAUCAUGCUUGUUACGUGAGGCAAAGCAUCUUCAUAUACGGCUAUGCUUAAAGUCCAAGAUGAUAUUGGUGAAGAUUUAUUCCUACAAGAUGUGAUGGAGAUGGAGAUGGAGACACCUUAUCUUAAAGUAAGUUGAGAAUAAUAUUAUUAGGUAAUUCUUGACUUCAAAAAUUACUUUUCUUUUCACUUUUAGUCCUUACAAAGGAAUAACCUUAGCUUCGGUUAAUUGUGUUAGAAUUUUUAGAAAAAUGAUGACUUGUCCAUUCUAGUUUGUUGAGUUAUUUGCUUGUA